rnacentral:pre_miRNA from 1 species
CCUUAUCUGGAUCGGGUUUCGCUGGCUAACGUGUUGUAAAAAAGCAGCGAGCUAUUUGCGAGCGUAAUAUCUUUCAAUUCGUUGUCGACGAAACCUGCACGGAAUAAGG